GCUCUCUAUUUCACAGCACUGCUAUCCUCUUGAUCUAGAAGUAUUGUUCUCUGUAUUAUUUCAAAUAAAGUUUGUUGUAAUAUAGGAAGAAAGAAGUACAAACCAUGGAUCUUCAAAUAUAAAGUCCACUCAUUCAAUGUGGGCUAUUUCUCUUAAUAGUGGUGCUCUUUCUUGGACUUCUGAGAUGUUCUCCAGCAUAAACUUAUAAAAAGCUGGACAAGUUGGCUGUAGUCAUAAGGAUGGGCAUAGGCUGUCAAAAUCAUAUGUUACCAUUAUGUCCCCUUGGUUCCAUUUAAUGUUGCAUAUUCUUGCUAAUAUGUUGGUAGUUACAAUUGAAUUAUCUCUCUCCUAAUAUCACUAUGCACCAGUUGCCUAUCAUUUUCUCCAGGUUAUUCAUAGGUGCUGUUUUUUCCUCUACAAUAAGUCAUGCAGUCAAUGGGCUUUUAUGGAUUUUGAAUCUUGGACAUAUUGGUACACUUAUUUUUUCAUGUUUUCUAACUUCUGGGAACAGUCUAUCUCUAAUAAUCCUAUUUACUAUACCUGUUAGUUUCAUCAUAGGGUCUAUGGAUAGUAAUUUCGAUUAGGUUUGCUCAAUAUAAGUUUCAAGGAAAGAAUCAUAUAGAUUCCUGUCCAUUAAGACCAGCUUCUUUAUUUUGUCUUCUCUUGUUACCAUAUAAUUGUUACUAUUAAGCCAGUAGAUUGUAUUUUUAAGUAACUGCAUGUAAUCAGUAUUAAGCUUAUACU
rnacentral:lncRNA from 1 species